rnacentral:rRNA from 1 species
GAGUUUGAUCCUGGCUCAGGACGAACGCUGGCGCCGUGCCUAAUACAUGCAAGUCGAACGAACUCUGGUAUUGAUUGGUGCUUGCAUCAUGAUUUACAUUUGAGUGAGUGGCGAACUGGUGAGUAACACGUGGGAAACCUGCCCAGAAGCGGGGGAUAACACCUGGAAACAGAUGCUAAUACCGCAUAACAACUUGGACCGCAUGGUCCGAGUUUGAAAGAUGGCUUCGGCUAUCACUUUUGGAUGGUCCCGCGGCGUAUUAGCUAGAUGGUGAGGUAACGGCUCACCAUGGCAAUGAUACGUAGCCGACCUGAGAGGGUAAUCGGCCACAUUGGGACUGAGACACGGCCCAAACUCCUACGGGAGGCAGCAGUAGGGAAUCUUCCACAAUGGACGAAAGUCUGAUGGAGCAACGCCGCGUGAGUGAAGAAGGGUUUCGGCUCGUAAAACUCUGUUGUUAAAGAAGAACAUAUCUGAGAGUAACUGUUCAGGUAUUGACGGUAUUUAACCAGAAAGCCACGGCUAACUACGUGCCAGCAGCCGCGGUAAUACGUAGGUGGCAAGCGUUGUCCGGAUUUAUUGGGCGUAAAGCGAGCGCAGGCGGUUUUUUAAGUCUGAUGUGAAAGCCUUCGGCUCAACCGAAGAAGUGCAUCGGAAACUGGGGAACUUGAGUGCAGAAGAGGACAGUGGAACUCCAUGUGUAGCGGUGAAAUGCGUAGAUAUAUGGAAGAACACCAGUGGCGAAGGCGGCUGUCUGGUCUGUAACUGACGCUGAGGCUCGAAAGUAUGGGUAGCAAACAGGAUUAGAUACCCUGGUAGUCCAUACCGUAAACGAUGAAUGCUAAGUGUUGGAGGGUUUCCGCCCUUCAGUGCUGCAGCUAACGCAUUAAGCAUUCCGCCUGGGGAGUACGGCCGCAAGGCUGAAACUCAAAGGAAUUGACGGGGGCCCGCACAAGCGGUGGAGCAUGUGGUUUAAUUCGAAGCUACGCGAAGAACCUUACCAGGUCUUGACAUACUAUGCAAAUCUAAGAGAUUAGACGUUCCCUUCGGGGACAUGGAUACAGGUGGUGCAUGGUUGUCGUCAGCUCGUGUCGUGAGAUGUUGGGUUAAGUCCCGCAACGAGCGCAACCCUUAUUAUCAGUUGCCAGCAUUAAGUUGGGCACUCUGGUGAGACUGCCGGUGACAAACCGGAGGAAGGUGGGGAUGACGUCAAAUCAUCAUGCCCCUUAUGACCUGGGCUACACACGUGCUACAAUGGAUGGUACAACGAGUUGCGAACUCGCGAGAGUAAGCUAAUCUCUUAAAGCCAUUCUCAGUUCGGAUUGUAGGCUGCAACUCGCCUACAUGAAGUCGGAAUCGCUAGUAAUCGCGGACCAGCAUGCCGCGGUGAAUACGUUCCCGGGCCUUGUACACACCGCCCGUCACACCAUGAGAGUUUGUAACACCCAAAGUCGGUGGGGUAACCUUUUAGGAACCAGCCGCCUAAGGUGGGACAGAUGAUUAGGGUGAAGUCGUAACAAGGUAGCCGUAG